CCUACGGGGAGCUGCAGUGGGGAAUCUUCCGCAAUGGGCGAAAGCCUGACGGAGCAACGCCGCGUGAUCGAAUGAAGGCCUUCGGGUUGUAAAGAUCUGUUGACAGGGACUAAUAAGCAAUGCGAAUAGUUUUGUGUAUGACGGUACCUGUUUAGAAAGCUCCGGCUAACUACGUGCCAGCAGCCGCGGAAAUACGUAGGGAGCAAGCGUUGUCCGGAAUUACUGGGCGUAAAGGGCGCGUAGGUGGGUGCUUAAGUCAGGUGUGAAAGCUCCGGGCUCAACCGGGAGACUGCACUUGAAACUGGGUGUCUUGAGUGCAGGAGAGGAAAGUGGAAUUCGUGGUGUAGCGGUGAAAUGCAUAGAUAUUAGGAAGAACACCAGUGGCGAAGGCGACUUUCUGGACUGUACCUGACGCUGAUGCGCGAAAGCGUGGGUAGCGAACGGGAUUAGAUACCCUGGUAGUC
rnacentral:rRNA from 1 species